CCGCCCUGGACGCUGAGAAUGUGUGGAGGGAUCCUGAGGGCAGGACGCGGGACAGCGCGAGGAGAAACGAGGAGAGUUAGGGUUGGCUGGGAGGGUGCGAAAAUGACGCGACCACUGGAGGCUGUGAGGGUGAAAGGAGUAAGAAUCGUCUAGAGACGGGCUGGGCCGGUGCUGGGGCCAAAGGCGUCUGUCUGUCAGGCCCUUUUUGGCGCUCACUCUAGUCUAGAAAGAAGAGACGGAGACGCGAAGAGAUCGGAGUUCAACAAUUUUUAUGAAUUUCUAAUCCAACCUCAUCAUUCUAUGGGAAACAGAAGACCACCAAGAACAGCCAGCUGAGACAGGAUUUCACUGUGUUACCCAAGCCAGUCUUAAACUCCUGGUCUCAAGAGAUCCUCCGCCUCGGCCUCCCACUGUGCCUGGCCUAUGGACUCUCAAUUUUUUAAAAAGACUGGAAAAAACUUUUAUAAGAGAAUUGGAAAUUUGGACAAUGGACUCUCAUUCUGUCACCAGGUUGAAGUGCAGUGAUGUGAUCUUGGCUCACUGCAACCUCCACCCGCUGGGUUCAAGCUAUUCUCCUGCCUCAGCCUCCCGAGUAGCUGGGAUUACAGGUAUCUUGGCAGUAACCUCCUCCAUAUAUUUCCUUGGCCCUCAGCUUACAUCUGGCAAAAUGACUCUAUUGGUUCCAGGCUUCGCAUCCAUACAACAUGGUGUUGGAGGAACAGAGAU
rnacentral:antisense_RNA from 1 species